rnacentral:rRNA from 1 species
UUGGAGGGCAAGUCUGGUGCCAGCAGCCGCGGUAAUUCCAGCUCCAAUAGCGUAUAUUAAAGUUGUUGUGGUUAAAAAGCUCGUAGUUGAACCUUGGGCCUGGCUGGCCGGUCCGCCUCACCGCGUGCACUGGUCCGGCCGGGCCUUUCCCUCUGCGGAACCCCAUGCCCUUCACUGGGUGUGGCGGGGAAACNGGACUUUUACUUGAAAAAAUUGAGUGCUCAAGGCAGGCCUAUGCUCGAAUACAUUAGCAUGGAAUAAUAGAAUAGGA